UCGUCGUUACAGUGAAGGGCUAUCAACAUUUGAAACAAUAACAAACAGUCAACAGCAAAUGGAAUGUAAAUGUCUUCUGAGGAUGCAGAAGAUCUUUUACAUGAUUCAGUUAUUGAAUUAUUUGAUUUAUCUGAUUAUUCUUCAACUUUGCCAAACGAUGCUAAAGAAAGAUAUGUUGCUAAGCUCAAUGAAGUACAUUGUGACUGUCCUUACAUCAUAGAAAAUGAGUAUUAUUUGUAAGUUUUAAGGCCUUGAACUAAAAAAACAGCCCAUCUCCAAAAAUUAUCUCAUAAGACUUACAGCUCUUAUAAUUAUUCAUAUCGUUAGCUGUAUAAAACUGUUUUCUGUAGACUAGAUAGUUCCAAACAUCUCCAAAUUCAACUGAUGGUAAUAUUGUUUCUAGCUCUUGUGUACUGGAAGUCCAAUACUCAGUGUGUUGGAUUUGGGGCCAUCAAAUCACUCAAAUCCAAAUCAAAUCCGAAAAAUUUGAGGAUUUGGAUUGGAUUUCCCAAUGUGGGAAAAGGCAGUGAUUUGAUUUGGAUUUGACGCAAAAUGUCAUAAAAAUCAAAUCAAUUUCAAAUACAAAUCCAAAUCAUUAAGAGUAACUUAUCCAAUGGCCCACCAGAGGUCUGACUUCGCUGACGCUUUUCGUUCGGCAGUUGUUUCCCCGUACUCCUGGCCUAAUUUGAGCUCAUAUUCCUUCACAUGUUGAGUAUCUGAAUUCUGUGUUUUUAUUUUAAUGUAACUCUGAGUGAAUUUUCUGCAGGUAUAAAUGUUUAAUUAAUAUUUUUACUUUCUGUUCGGUUUUAUACAUGUUCCCAUUUUGGCAUUUUCCUUUUUGGUUUGGUCUUUUCAAUAGACCACUAUUCCACUAAGUUAACGUGACUGUAGGACCUCGUGAUUGUGCCAACUUUGCAAUCUACAUCUAUCAAUUACAUCAAAGAUUCAAAGACAAUUAAUAAAGGUAUCAGUGUAUAA